AAUGAACGUUGGCGGCGUGGAUUAGGCAUGCAAGUCGUACGCUCCGCAAGGGGCGUGGCGUAAGGGUGAGUAAGGCGACGGUAACCAACCCCGAGGCCGGGGAUAGCCGUGGGAAACUACGGGGAAUAUCCGGCGUUGCGUCUGGUGGGCAUCUUCCGGACGUGAAAGGUGCGAUUCCGCCUCGGGACGGGCCGUUGUGGUAUCAGCUUGAUGGUGGGGUAACGGCCCACCAUGGCAUUGACGUCUACCGGGCGUGCGAGCGUGGCCCGGCACACUGGGACUGAGACACUGCCCAGACACCUACGGGUGGCUGCAGUCGAGAAUCUUCGGCAAUGGGCGCAAGCCUGACCGAGCGACGCCGCGUGGAGGAUGAAGGCCUUCGGGUUGUAAACCGCUGUCGUAGGGAAUCAAGUGUAUGAGGGUACUCCCUUGUAUUUGAGAGAUCCUAGGAGGAAGGAGAGGCUAAGCUCGUGC
rnacentral:rRNA from 1 species